AAUGGGAAUUUUGCUUAUUGCACCACAUGUGUUUUUCUUUGAAACAAACUUGCUUUGGCGGUGGGCCCAGCCUGCCGCCAGAGGUCUAAACUUACAACCAAUUUUUUAUCAACUUGUCACACCAGAUUAUUACUUAAUAGUCAAAACUUUCAACAACGGAUCUCUUGGUUCUCGCAUCGAUGAAGAACGCAGCGAAAUGCGAUACGUAAUAUGAAUUGCAGAUAUUCGUGAAUCAUCGAAUCUUUGAACGCACAUUGCGCCCUCUGGUAUUCCGGAGGGCAUGCCUGUUUGAGCGUCGUUUCUCCCUCAAACCGCUGGGUUUGGUGUUGAGCAAUACGACUUGGGUUUGCUUGAAAGACGGUAGUGGUAAGGCGGGAUCGCUUUGACAAUGGCUUAGGUCUAACCAAAAACAUUGCUUGCGGCGGUAACGUCUACCACGUAUAUCUUCAAACUUUGACCUCAAAUCAGGUAGGACUACCCGCUGAACUUAAGCAUAUCAAUAAGCGGAGGAA
rnacentral:rRNA from 1 species